rnacentral:rRNA from 1 species
AUGUGGUUUAAUUCGGACGCAACGCGCAGAACCUUACCCAGCCCUUGACAUCCCGGUCGCGGACUCCAGAGACGGAGUUCUUCAGUUCGGCUGGACCGGAGACAGGUGCUGCAUGGCUGUCGUCAGCUCGUGUCGUGAGAUGUUGGGUUAAGUCCCGCAACGAGCGCAACCCCCGUCCUUAGUUGCUACCAUUUAGUUGAGCACUCUAAGGAGACUGCCGGUGAUAAGCCGCGAGGAAGGUGGGGAUGACGUCAAGUCCUCAUGGCCCUUACGGGCUGGGCUACACACGUGCUACAAUGGCGGUGACAAUGGGAUGCUAAGGGGCGACCCUUCGCAAAUCUCAAAAAGCCGUCUCAGUUCGGAUUGGGCUCUGCAACUCGAGCCCAUGAAGUUGGAAUCGCUAGUAAUCGUGGAUCAGCACGCCACGGUGAAUACGUUCCCGGGCCUUGUACACACC